rnacentral:rRNA from 1 species
AGAGCGAACGCUGGCGGCAGGCCUAACACAUGCAAGUCGAGCGCCCGUAGCAAUACGGGAGCGGCAGACGGGAUAGUAACACGUGGGAACGCGCCCUUCGGUUCGGAAUAACUCAGGGAAACUUGAGCUAAUACCGGAUACGCCCUUACGGGGAAAGAUUUAUUGCCGAAGGAACGGCCCGCGUCCGAUUAGCUAGUUGGUGAGGUAAUGGCUCACCAAGGCUACGAUCGGUAGCU